GAGCUGAAAUCAAGAGUCGGACACCUAACUGACUAAGCCAACUAGGCGCUCCUUAAAUUUUCUGAGCCUCAGUUUCUUCAUAUGUAAAAAAGCGCUAUUAGUAAUGCAAUUUACAGUGCUCACUCCAUAGGGUUGUAUUAGAAUUAAAUGAGACAGAGGAUUUAAAUUGUAUACAAUAGUGCUUAAUGAAGGAAGGAAAGAAGAAAGCAAGGAAGAAAUGAACAGGGAAAUAAAAAAAAAAAGAAGUUUCACAAAAUCAUCUUGGGGAAUAAACGCAAUUUCCACCAUAAAUUGUAUCAAGUAUUAUGUAGAGUCAUCACCUAAAAUCCACACUUAAUUGUGUGUAUGUUACAUGUAGGUCUGUGUGUAUGUAAAUCUAUAUUUCACAUCUGUUUUCUACCUUCAAAUGGUCUUAGUUUGGCUCGUUUUGGUUCUUUUAGCACAUUUCUCAUACAGAGUUCUUGAAGUCAGUUGCAAAAGGUAUUGCAGAAGUGCUACCUGACAUAACCAGAAGUCAACAGCAUUGGUAUUGGCUGAUCUGAGGUUGAGUGGUCAAGGGGCUUAAUCUUGCCUGAAAUACUGACGGUGGAAAGUACCUUCUGACAGUUGAGGAAGUGUGGCCAGAGUGGGAAAAUGUAUAGCAAUCUUAAGAAAAGCCUGACCACAUCUCCAUGAGUCACCAAAAGAAACGAGAUCUAUGAGUAUCUGUGAUGGGGACCAUCGGGCAAUGUCUCCUUAAUCGCAGGUGUCCAGGGGACGGAUUCUGUGAGCUUGUGCCCUACUUCUGUCUGCUCUCCACUCCCUCAUUCUCUAGGCAUUUUCUCUAUGAUUGUUGGAGCUGGAAAAAUACCAAGACAAUACGCAGCACACAUUUGUAUGUUCGCAAUUACAACAGAAGCUUCUAUUUAUUCUUAACAAUGUGACCUCAUUUUCUAUAGGCUCAUUGGGGUUGUUGUUCUAGAAUCUCUAAUGACAAACUCAUUCUCAAAAAAAAAAAAUGAGGACUAACAGAUACAUGGAGGCAGGAAAUUUGUAUUAAUUUGACGGGCUAUACAUAUCUUCAGUCUGUUGGAAGCCACAGUUUGGUUGGCAAAUAUUUACCGAUACCAAUUUAUACUGGGAUAUGUGAUAUAUAUCAUUUCUUUUGUCAAAAUUUUAAAUCACCUUUAAGAAACUGUGACUAUAAAAUGGGAAAGAGGCAGGGUGUACAUCUUGGUUCUGGCAACCUUGGCUCUGGGACCUUGGACUUAAUCCUCCAUGAACCUCAGUUUGGUCAUCUGUUAUAAGAAUAUGACGAUAUCAACCUUAUGCAUCUUUUGUGUUGAAACGUACGAGUAAAUAUAUGUCAAGUGUUCAGCACAACGCCCAGCAAAUGGCGAGGGCUCGGUCAGUCCGCAGUGAUGAUGAGUGUCGUAGAGUGACUGUGCAGACAGACUGAUGGCAUGGGGAAAUAGGAAAGGAAAAUGACCCCAAGAACAGUUCUAGAAACAGACAGUGCUUUCUCCUAUUUUAUAGAUGAGGAAACUGAGACUUGCUCAGGCUCUACACUUAGUAAAAGACCAAAAUACGAAUCCAAAUUUGCCUCCAAAUUUGCUCUGUCUUCUGAAUAUCAUACCUGUUUGUUUCAUGCACAGAAAUUACAGACAGUCAGACUCACAAACUUUAAAAAACUAAAAUGAUAUACAAUAUUAAAUACAUUCUAUAUUGUAUACUUUAUAUAUGAUCGGACAGAUUAAGUGUCCCGAUUGCCUUUACUCUGUGGUCAUAGGAAAGAAACAAAGGAUCAAGGAUAUGUUGAUGAAAAGACUUCAUCUGAAAGACAACAAGGGAAGGGAAAAAUCUGAAAAAUUCCUCAAAGGUGACCAUAAUAUUCUAUCUUUCCAAAGGGAUUUUUUUUAAUGUUUACAAAGCAUUGGAAAUGACAGGGAAAGUUCAUUUCACAUUGUCAAGAUGAAGAAGGGGGGCAUAACAGCAUAGGCGUUGCUCAUUUUUUUUCUUACUUUCACUUUGCAUGUAUCGCCCAGAUUUCUCCCCUAAGGACCCCCCACCCCCACCCAGUGAAAAUAACAUGGGCUGAUGAUGUCAAGGAGGUGUAGAGGACCCACAUUUUAAAAUGUUACACCAGAGAUGAACAAAGAUGCAAUUCUAAUUCUAAAUUUUGUGGGAGAAAAGGAAGAAGAUGCACAUUUUAUACACAUACAUUUGUGCACCUCUUCACUUCAUAUAUUUGGGUACACAGCUUAGAUAAAUUUCGGUACUGACUACCCGACUGAGGGAUCAACGUGCAGGGUGUUGUUUAAAUGCAAAGUAAUUAUUCCAUUAAUUCACUUCCCCCCUGAAAGUACAACCAGAGAAAAAAGGAACACAAAUUAUCCGGAGAUUGCAAUUCACAUGCAUAAUUAAUUCGCCUGCAGAAUUCGGUGUCUUGGCUUUUCUGCCGGUGGAGAACAUAAUCUCUUUUCCAUUUUAGUUCAGCCGCUCAGAAAGAUGUGUGUGUGUGUGUGUGUGUGUGUGUGUGUGUGUGAGAGAGAGAGAGACAGAGACAGAGACAGACAGAGACAGAUAAGACAGAUAAGGCAGAGAGCAUCCACUGGCUAUGUAACUGCUGCUGGACUAAAACACGAAUCAAUGCUGCAACCACAGGACUGUGGCUGUGCGAGUUCCUCAAUUUAACAUUGCAGCUUUUCCUUCCACCAAUGACCAUAUUUGAGAAAGAAGCCUCCUUGUAACUUAUAAAUGGGGCUGACACACAGGCGUGGCUCUGAAGUCGAGCAAAACUCAUUUUAAGCCCCCAGGUGGGUCACUUUUUACGUCUCUCUUUCAACUCACAAUUAAAACAAUCUUGCAUUCUUUCACAGUUUUUAGGGCACCUAUGUUUGGCCACGACUGUACAAUUAGGGAUAUGGGUGUUCCGGUGUAAAUACUAAAUUGUCUAAUUUAUUUGGGUCUAUCAGUCACAACAGUCCAAAAGGUGACUAAAACUUGACUGAAAGUAUUCUAACCUUUUAAGACUGAAAACUUUUCAAAGCUUUUGAGGAUGGAGAUCAUAGUUUGCAACCCAUGCAGAGAUCGGUAAGUUGGUAAAAACUAAAUAGUCAAGUGCAGAGAGGUGCUGGGUAGAUACUGAUGGUGAUGGUGAUGAAGGAGAAGGAGAAGGAAAAGAAGAAAAGGAAGAGGAGGAAUCUGUUUGAUAAAAGCAAUUGGAAGACUGAUCCAUUUACUUGGGAUAAAUUAUCAUUAUUUGAGCUCAACUCCAGAGCUUAAGUACAAAUAAGCCCCAUGGUCUGCUGCCUGUUUAUUCCAGGAGGAUAUUAUUUCUCCUGGAAUUCGGCAGUUAUAUAAAAAACUGAUUCAAAUGUAGAAAAUUAAAGUAAUAAACCAUCUGAAUGGAUUGGCUUUCUUCACAUAUGAAGAUAACACCAGUAACUACCUCACAGGAUCGUAGGGAUGACUAAAUAUAUCAGUAUUGGUUAAAACACAAAAAAUACUCAGUCCCGAGUGAGUAGUACACGAGUGUUAGCUAUCAUUAUUAGGGUGGUAAAUUGAAAUUCUUUCUUCCCCGCUCUGCUGCUUGCUGUAGGUUACAAGAUGAAGCGAUGAUGAAAUUACUGGGAAGACUGAUGUAAUCACUGAAACUUGGCAAACCCAAAACAAUGGGGACAGUCAAUAGUUUAAGGAAAUGGACUCAGAAGGGAACUGAGGAAAGCCACGGGAGAUGCCAUCUGGGCAGCCCUGUGUGUCUUCAGCAGCUGUAGGGAGAUGCCCCUAAAAAUGUGAACGUCUAAUCUGGUGGCAACUUCUCAGAACUUCAAAAUGAAAACAGCGUGAAACAUGGACGCUUUUGAUGUAAGUGCCUUGCCAUCUGGCAAAACAGGGAAACUUGCAACUCUUGGAAUCUGUUGACACUGGUUAGUUUGACAUUUCGGUGGAGCUCUAAUGCUAAUGUUUAUUAUGCCCGCAGGGCUCAGUAUGUAGAUGGCAUAGCAUCAUUUUGGUUGGUGGUUUCUGUGAGUUGGGAAACUAGCUUGACAAAAAGCCCUAAAGAAACAAUUAGACUAAUAUAAAUAAUGUUACUCUGCCACAAAGUCUAUUAAUCAUAAAGUCUGGUGCCUUUACAAUCUUGCUUUAUAAAUUUUGACUCUUCGUUAAUGGAAUCUUAUGAGCAAGUUUGUGAAUUUUAUUUCACCUAGACUGAUAUCAAAAUGUGUUUGCCCUCUCUCCUCUAUAUAUGGAGGGUCUUUAUUCUACAAGUAAUGAGGAGAAGUUGACUUGAGAACUUUCUAGAAUAAUCCAAAGUAACUAAGCAAAAGUUACUAAUAUCUGUUCUUAGGUUCUCUGUCAUCAAAGAAGCCCAUUAUCAACUACAACAGUUUCAGUAAGUGUAGCUAAGUUUGAGGUCACUGACUGUGUUUAGACCAAAAUAAUAAGAUUGUAAUUUUGUCUGUUUGCGAUGGUCAUUGGGAAAUUUCCUAAAUACGUUGCACUCAAUGUCCAUUCAGUGCUUUGAGGCUAAAAUGAAGAAUAGUGCUUUGGCAAAGAGGAAGCAUGGUAGAAUGCAAAAUACCGUAUGAUUACUAUAUCUUCUUCCACAGCCAUCACUGUGAGCAACUCAGUAAAUAAUAAGUUCAUAAGUGAAAUCAAAGAAAAGACUUCCAUGCAUCUCUAAGUAGCUGAGAGAAAAUACGUGUGACAAAUUUCCAGUUCAAUAAAUAUCAUUAGUGCUGACCACGUGCUAGGAGAGCUAAGAAGGAGCUCAGGCUGUCAAACAAGGAAUUGACACUAAAGCAAUUAUGGUUACUGCUAUACUUACUCUAAGAUCAAAACGUUAAACAGACACACACACAGAAGAAACUGUGAGGCAAGGAAGAUGGCCGAAGGGUUCCGUAGGGAAGACUUCCAAAAGCACUCGUUUCUUGAAGUGAGUCUUGAAAACUGACUGUAAGUUUUACAAAUAAGAAAGCAAUCAGAGCAACAGUUGGAACAAAAAGAAGUGAAAGCAUGGAACUUUCUGGCGGCUUGUGGUCUUGUGCACCCAGAACAUGGGCAAAUGAGGGGGGGGGUGAGAGGAUGGAGGGCAGCCAGAGCAGAAGGAAGUGACAAGAAAUAAGGUUGGGGAAGUGGUUGAGGCAAGUUUGUGAAGGCGUACAAUUCUUUGGUAAAAUUAUACAUUAAUUAAGAGAGGAUACUUCUUCAUUCUCUAAAAGAGGAUUCUGCACUCAUUACAUGAAACCCACAACGAUAUCUCUUACUUAUAAAGACAAAAAAAGCUUCUGGGUUUAUUGCAAAUUUUUUUCUUCUCUCUUUCUCCCCCUCUUUCCUUUAAAAUUAUGAGCACCAAGGUCUCCUCAGUCAGCUUCAGAAAUAAAAGCUUCUAAUGAUCUACAUCUGGGAAAAAAAUAUGCUGGUGUGGAAGAAGGGAUCCAGAAGAGACAGAUGCUUAUAAAGAAGCAAUAUGGAGCUGGAAAUCAUGACUGUCUAACAUCCCUCGACCCCUCCAAUAGCCCAGUGACAGUGGGCCAGUUGCUUCCACGCUCUUAGGAGGAACAUCCUCCGUGCCAGGCCCUUAGGAGACAACACCAGAAGACUCCUCUCACACGCUCAAGGAUUUCACAAUGUGGAAGGUUACUAAAUAUCCCAACAAUUAUAACGCCCUUUGAUCAACACGGUGAGAGACAGAUGCCCAAGGUACCAGUGACAUGAUGGGGGUGGCGCGGCGGGCAGGAAGGCAUUUUAGAAGAUGUGGAGCUGGGCCCCCAACAGUCUAUGGAAGCUGGCCAGGCGAAGCAGGAGAGAGAGAGUGAUGAAGGGCAUUUCAGAGGGACCGGCACAUACAUACAGUGUGGGACUGUUACGUGCCUCACCCGGCCGAAACGUCAGCUUCUGGAGUACAGGAAUUGCACCCUCACCUAGCACCUAAUCCAAUUCAUUGCUCAUAGUACAAAUGCAAUAAAUAUUGGAGGAGCUGAGAAGGCAAAUUGAUUCCAUAAACAAUGUGGGACUGAAAAGUUGAACAAAGGGAUAAAUUUUCCAUACAUAUCUAAAAUUUACAAAGCAUGAGAGGUCUUCCGGAGAAUUUACAUAUAUGCAGCUGCCAUUUAAAGACUGAUUUUACAUCUGGCUAGUGCUAAUUUUACUACCCCUUUCUGAUAACAGUACAACAAAAGCUAAUUAUAGCUAUUAUUGCCAGGUAGAGUAUAAACGGAAGAGGGCUGUUCACAGCUGCGAAUUUCAUUUUCAUAAAAUGUCAAGUGCAAUAAAAUGUUAGCCCUGCAA